rnacentral:rRNA from 1 species
UGUACCCUACGGGGGGCAGCAGUGGGGAAUAUUGCACAAUGGGGGAAACCCUGAUGCAGCGACGCCGCGUGAAGGACGAAGUAUUUCGGUACGUAAACUUCUAUCAGCAGGGAAGAAAAUGACGGUACCUGACCAAGAAGCCCCGGCUAACUACGUGCCAGCAGCCGCGGUAAUACGUAGGUGGCAAGCGUUGUUCGGAAUAACUGGGCGUAAAGGAUGCGUAGGCGGUUAAACAAGUUAUAUGUUAAAUAUAUAGGCUUAACCUGUAGAAAGCAUAUAAAACUGUUUAACUAGAG